CCUACGGGUGACAGCAGUGGGGGAUAUUGCACAAUGGGGGAAACCCUGAUGCAGCGACGCCGCGUGUGGGAAGACGGUCCUCUGGAUUGUAAACCACUGUCCCCAGGGACGAAGAUGACGGUACCUGGGGAGGAAGCUCCGGCUAACUACGUGCCAGCAGCCGCGGUAAUACGUAGGGAGCGAGCGUUGUCCGGAAUUACUGGGUGUAAGGGGAGCGUAGGCGGGACUGCAAGUUGGGUGUCAAAUCUACCGGCUCAACCGGUAGCCGCACUCAAAACUGCAGUUCUUGAGUGAAGUAGAGGCAGGCGGAAUGCCUAGUGUAGCGGUGAAAUGCGUAGAUAUUAGGAGGAACACCAGUGGCGAAGGCGGCCUGCUGGGCUUUUACUGACGCUGAGGCUCGAAAGUGUGGGGAGCAAACAGGAUUAGAUACCCCUGUAGUC
rnacentral:rRNA from 1 species